UACGGGGGGGGGCAAGCGUUGUCCGGAAUUAUUGGGCGUAAAGAGCUCGUAGGCGGUCUGUCGCGUCGGAUGUGAAAACCCAGGGCUCAACCCUGGGCCUGCAUUCGAUACGGGCAGACUAGAGUUCGGUAGGGGAGACUGGAAUUCCUGGUGUAGCGGUGAAAUGCGCAGAUAUCAGGAGGAACACCGGUGGCGAAGGCGGGUCUCUGGGCCGAAACUGACGCUGAGGAGCGAAAGCGUGGGGAGCGAACAGG
rnacentral:rRNA from 1 species